UGGAAAUUCUGGGUACCGCAGAAGCGCCAGCGCUGCUCCUUAGAUCCUGGGGUUGGAUUGUGUGUCCCUGAAGCUAUGCUGCCACAGUGCACUAUGAGUUUACAAGAGCAACAAAAGGUGAAUAAAUCUCUGGAGUUGGUGUCAUUUGAGGAUGUGGCUGUGGACUUCACCUGGGAGGAGUGGCAGGACCUGAAUGAUGCUCAGAGGACUUUGUACAGGGAUGUGAUGCUGGAGACCUAUAGCA